CGCGUCACACAAGGGAGACCACACACUUCCUCUCUUAUCUCCACCUAAAACUUCAAACUUCAAACCGCCACUAAAUCUCUGCCUUGUAACUUCUCCACCAUCCAACACCCUUCUCUGUCGUCCAUCAUACUCCCUUCGAUCCGACCUUCACCUUCGGAAAAAAAAAACUCAACUUUUCCCUUCUCCGAUCUACGACACCGCCAACCAUCAUAAACACAUCACAUACAACCUUUCCACCCUUCGAUCCAUUUUCCAAUCGCGUUUUUGAUCCAAUAACACCCUUCACUCACCGGUAACCACCGCGACAUAUCAUCCUUUGCUCUUCUCAAGAUACUCGAACGCGGCUUUAACGAUUUGGAGAAAUCAGGAGCAUUCCAUAUUCCACUUUCGGUGGUCUGAGAAUAACAUUUAUGCACAACAUCAAGUUUUCCGGAUACCCGUGAAUAAGAAAUUCCACAAUAAAAUAAUUCUGCACAGCAACAACUUUCGGUUUUGGGUCGCGUCUUUUCUUCUUACUCGAUUUCAAUGUUGUUGGAUUGUGAUUAAUUUGUUUUUGUAUCUUGAUUCUUUUUCUUUACUAUUUGUUCUGUUUAUAGCAUUUCGUCCUAUUCGUUUAGUGUUUGGUAUGCUUGGCUUUUAUGGUUCUGUUAUGGAUAAGUUGGAUUUCAUGAUAAUCACUUUUAACAGUUUUAAUCGGGUAUUAUAAUACGUAGUUGCUGCUACUGAUUCUAUUUGGUUGAGAUGUAUUAGGUAAGAUCGGACAUUUAUCCGUGAUUUCGACAUUGAUAAUAUGUUGUUAUGACCACCAAUUUCUAUUUUGAUAUCUAUUUUGAUAUGUCAACUUAAUUUCUACAGCUUCUUUUGUAUGUUAUGGUAUGAUAUUCUAUUUCGAUGAACGCUAAAGAAGUUGUUGCUGUCAUGAUUCGAGUUGCUGAAUUGCCGUAGAUGUUUGUUGGAAAUAAUAGGUUGGACUUGGAUGGAUGGACUUGGAUGGAUGGACUGAUAUUGGAAUUAAUAUCCAAUUUUUAUUUGUUUAAAUUCUAUUUUUUUAAUAUUAUAUACUCACUUUUAUCAAUAAUGGUUAUGUUAUAAAUUUUAGUAAAAGGAAACAAGAGAGUCACGUGGUAAGAGUGGGGGACGACUCCCUUUUAUUGCCAUUUUUUUGUUACUUUUAUUUAUUAUUAUUAUUAUUAUUUAUUUUAUUUAUUCUGUUAAUAAAUGGUUUUAUUAUUAUUA